CCUACGGGGGGCAGCAGUGAGGAAUAUUGGACAAUGGGCGCAAGCCUGAUCCAGCCAUGCCGCGUGCAGGAUGACGGUCCUAUGGAUUGUAAACUGCUUUUGCACAGGAAGAAACAUCCCGACGUGUCGGGACUUGACGGUACUGUGAGAAUAAGGAUCGGCUAACUCCGUGCCAGCAGCCGCGGUAAUACGGAGGAUCCAAGCGUUAUCCGGAAUCAUUGGGUUUAAAGGGUCCGUAGGCGGUUUGGUAAGUCAGUGGUGAAAGCCCAUCGCUCAACGGUGGAACGGCCAUUGAUACUGCCAGACUUGAAUUAUUAGGAAGUAACUAGAAUAUGUAGUGUAGCGGUGAAAUGCUUAGAGAUUACAUGGAAUACCAAUUGCGAAGGCAGGUUACUACUAAUUGAUUGACGCUGAUGGACGAAAGCGUGGGUAGCGAACAGGAUUAGAUACCCCAGUAGUC
rnacentral:rRNA from 1 species